rnacentral:rRNA from 1 species
UACGUAGGGUGCGAGCGUUAAUCGGAAUUACUGGGCGUAAAGCGUGCGCAGGCGGUUUGUUAAGUCUGCUGUGAAAGCCCCGGGCUCAACCUAGGAAUGGCAGUGGAAACUAGCAAGCUAGAGUGUGGCAGAGGGGGGUGGAAUUCCACGUGUAGCAGUGAAAUGCGUAGAUAUUGGGAGGAACACCAGUGGCGAAGGCGGCUACCUGGACCGGUUCUGACGCUGAUGCGCGAAAGCGUGGGUAGCAAACAGG